GUGCUCACUUCGGCAGCACAUAUACUAAAAAUUGGAACAAUACAGAGAAGACUAGCAUGGCCCCUGCUCAAGGAUGACACGCAGAUUCAUGAAGUGUUCCAUAUUAAA
rnacentral:snRNA from 1 species